GACGAACGCUGGCGGCGUGCCUAUACAUGCAAGUCGAGCGAAUGACGAGGAGCUUGCUCCUUUGAUUUAGCGGCGGACGGGUGAGUAACACGUGGGUAACCUACCCUAUAGACUGGGAUAACUUCGGGAAACCGGAGCUAAUACCGGAUAAUACUUUUGAACACAUGUUCGAAAGUUGAAAGAUGGUUUCGGCUAUCACUAUAGGAUGGACCCGCGGCGCAUUAGCUAGUUGGUGAGGUAACGGCUCACCAAGGCAACGAUGCGUAGCCGACCUGAGAGGGUGAUCGGCCACACUGGGACUGAGACACGGCCCAGACUCCUACGGGAGGCAGCAGUAGGGAAUCUUCCACAAUGGACGAAAGUCUGAUGGAGCAACGCCGCGUGAGUGAAGAAGGAUUUCGGUUCGUAAAACUCUGUUGCAAGGGAAGAACAAGUAGCGUAGUAACUGGCGCUACCUUGACGGUACCUUGUUAGAAAGCCACGGCUAACUACGUGCCAGCAGCCGCCGUAAGAC
rnacentral:rRNA from 1 species